rnacentral:misc_RNA from 1 species
CGCAUCUUGCGCCCCUGGGCAUUCCCAGGGGCAUGCCUGUUUGAGUGUCGCGUUAACCCUCACCCCUCCCUGACAUUCGUGCCGGGGGGACGGUGGACUUGGACCGUGCUGCCGCGAGGCGGCUCGUCUUGAAAUGCAUCGGCCUCGGCCCUCGUGUGCCCUUUGCGCCCGGAAGGUGUGAUAAUUGUCAUCGCCGGAAGUGCGCCUCGGGACGGCCUGGCCCUAAAGCCCUCGGGCAACAAACAUUAACUUGCGCUUUGACCUCAAAUCAGGUAGGACUACCCGCUGAACUUAA